rnacentral:rRNA from 1 species
GAGUUUGAUCUUGGCUCAGAUUGAACGCUGGCGGCAUGCCUUACACAUGCAAGUCGAACGGCAGCACGGGAGCUUGCUCCUGGUGGCGAGUGGCGAACGGGUGAGUAAUGCAUCGGAACGUAUCCUGGAGUGGGGGAUAACGUAGCGAAAGUUACGCUAAUACCGCAUAUUCUGUGAGCAGGAAAGCGGGGGACCUUCGGGCCUCGCGCUCUUGGAGCGGCCGAUGUCGGAUUAGCUAGUUGGUGAGGUAAAGGCUCACCAAGGCGACGAUCCGUAGCAGGUCUGAGAGGAUGAUCUGCCACACUGGAACUGAGACACGGUCCAGACUCCUACGGGAGGCAGCAGUGGGGAAUUUUGGACAAUGGGGGCAACCCUGAUCCAGUCAUGCCGCGUGAGUGAAGAAGGCCUC